UACGGAGGGUGCAAGCGUUAUUCGGAAUUACUGGGCGUAAAGCGUGCGCAGGCGGUUUGUUAAGUCCGCUGUGAAAUCCCCGAGCUCAACUUGGGAAUUGCAGUGGAUACUGGCAAGCUGGAGUAUGGUAGAGGAAGGUGGAAUUCCCGGUGUAGCAGUGAAAUGCGUAGAGAUCGGGAGGAACACCAGUGGCGAAGGCGGCCUGCUGGACCAAUACUGACGCUCAUGCACGAAAGCGUGGGGAGCAAACAGG
rnacentral:rRNA from 1 species